UUAGGAAUCUUCCGCAAUGGACGGAAGUCUGACGGAGCGACGCCGCUUGGAGGAGGAAGCCCUUCGGGGUGUAAACUCCUGAACUGGGGACGAAAGCCCUGUGUAGGGGGAUGACGGUACCCAGGUAAUAGCGCCGGCCAACUCCGUGCCAGCAGCCGCGGUAAUACGGAGGGCGCGAGCGUUACCCGGAUUUACUGGGCGUAAAGGGCGUGUAGGCGGCCUGGGGCGUCCCAUGUGAAAGGCCACGGAUCAACCGUGGAGGAGCGUGGGAUACGCUCAGGCUAGAGGGUGGGAGAGGGUGGUGGAAUUCCCGGAGUAGCGGUGAAAUGCGCAGAUACCGGGAGGAACGCCGAUGGCGAAGGCAGCCACCUGGUCCACUUCUGACGCUGAGGCGCGAAAGCGUGGGGAGCAAACC
rnacentral:rRNA from 1 species